CGGAGCCCGGACCCACGACCACCACCGCCGGACAGAGCGCGCGCUGCGAGGAGGCCGGCGGGAGCUGAGCUGUUUCUGCAGAAGCCUCACUGUGCGCAUUCCUGAAGCCAGGGCGGGUCACGAGUGACGCCCACGUCCAAGGUCCAGACCCCCGCCCUUUAGGGAGGCACCGUCCAGGCCAGCUGGACCCCUCCUCCGCCCGCUGCAUGCGGCCUCCCAGGAUGACAGCGCCCCAGGGAGGCGGCUCCCAGACCCGCCGGCGCAUCUCCGGGAGAGAAGCCAGCUGUGAGACAGGUGCAGGGGAUGCCAAGGAGGAGAGAGAGCGAGAGGCGUCUGGAGGAUGCUCCGGAGGGGCUGGGUCUGCCGCAAGUAAGAGCGGGCCGUGGCCCCGCUGCUCCCUUCCUGCGGGGUCCCCGGCUGGGCUGGCUGCGGCCCUGGCAUCGGACUCUCCCUGGGCCUUGUGGGGCACCCAGCCCAGCACCCUUCAGGGUCAGGAUGCUCAGCUUGCUACCUUCUCGCCACCCUGGUAUUUACUCCAAUCCCUCAGCAUCUUCACCCACUUGUCAGCUCGCCCGAUCUCCUGGGCUUUUUGCUGGAAAAUGGGAAAUGGUGGUGCUGGCCCAGCUGCCAGCUUCCUAGGGUGGCCCUGAUGGGCGUGACCUCAAAAGGGCCAGGAAAGGCGCAGACCCCUCAGCCCGAGGACCCCUUGACGGCUCUGGGGUCAGGGCGGCAGGGAACCGAAGCUGCACCCACGACGUCCUCCCCCCUCCCGCCGGUGCAGCAUGGAUGGCUCUUACCCUCGCUGAGUGGGUGCUGCAGCCGCUGAUGCUGAGGCCCUGGGUGCUGAGGCUACGCAGCUCCCCUGACUGGAAGGCAAGAGAAGCAGAGCGUGAGGACCUGCACCCGGCCGGGUGCCCAGAAGGCCCCACCUGCCCCCAUCAAGCCCCAGGUGUCAGCCCAGGAGACUGCGGAGGGGAGGGCUGACCCCAGGAGGGUGCUGGCUCAGGGAUGGGCUGCGUCCCACAGCAGCCCCAGGAGGUGCCCCACCUCCUGCCGAUGCUGGUCACCCGCUCUGUUCCAUGCCCUCCCGGCCCCUGCCCUGCUGGAGCGCAGAGGCCCCCGCUCAGGGCUCUCAGGUGAGUUGCUCCCCAGGGCCUCACCCUGCUCCAGAGUGGAUGCCUCCGUCCAGGUGAGUCACUCCCCAGGGCCUCACCCUGCUCCAGAGUGGACGCCACCGUCCAGGUGAGUCGCUCCCCAGGGCCUCACCCUGCUCCAGAGUGGACGCCUCCGUCCAGGAGCCCAGCACCCUUAGCCCUGCUGCAGACCAGCUCCGUCCAGGUACAUGCACGUCUUCUCCUCUCUCCCCCACCGUGGCCCGGCCCGGCCUUCUACCCCGAGUCUCCUCCCAGCCCCAGACCGAGGGGUCAGGUCGUCUUCAGCUGCAAACUCCGCCUGCGUCUGUCUCCUUCCCGUGAGCUUCUGAGGCCGGUCCUGCCUGCUCCCCCUGCCCGUCCCUCCAGCGCCUGAGGCCACACCUCUCACUGUCCUCCGGGCCAGAGCCUCGGAGACCUGUGGGCCAGGCGCGCCUCACCCUGUGGCCACGCUCUGCAGAGUCUGCUAACCAGGCUGAGCCUCCCUCUGACCUCGGAGGCAGAGGCCAGGGCCAGGCAUGGAGGCCACGCGGCUGAGGCCCAGGCCUGGACCAGCGCCCAGCCCUGCCCCCGCCGCCUCCCCGAGUCCUCUCAGCUCCAGCCCAGUGCAGACCCUGACCUGCCGUGGCCACCAGGGGUCGAGGCCCUGAGCUGGGGCGAUGGGUCCCGCCUCCAGAGAGGUCUUUCUGCAAAAGGAAACCUGCCCCGAGAUGGGAAGGAGGGGCAUCCUGAUGCCUCAUGGCAGAAAACGUAGCCUGUCGGCAACUUUGUACAGCGAGCGGUCAGCAUCUUCCCCGGGUUCCACUGGAGCCCCUGCCUGGCCCUGAAACCCACAGAGGCCAGAGGUGUGGCCAAAGGAGGGGCAGGACACCUCCCCUGCCCUGCGUCCCAGGAGCACAGCACGAGACCCACCUGCCCGAGUGGGAGCUGCUCGUACCUGGCUAGGAUCCUGCCUGGGCCACCUGGUCCCACUGGCUGUGACCGCCACCCAGGCCAUACCCGCCCCUCCGGGGCCAGCAGGGUCUCCGGCUUCUCCAUGUGCGACGCUGCAAGACAAAAAUAUCCAAAUAUCCCAGUGUGCUAAAGAGCUUCAGAGAGCCAGCAAGUUGAAGUUGGCUCCUUGUCGGCAGCUCCCCCGUCUGUCUGAUGAGGGGAGAAAACCACGCCGCCGGGGUGGCGGGUCAUGGCUCGCACCCACACCUCGUAACACUUACUUCCGCUUCCAGACUCCCCUCCGAGCCGCCUGGGAAACCCUGUCACAGUGAGGUGAUGAGGGGCAAGCAGGGGGCCAGGAGGCCCAGGCGAAGUGCUGAGCUGCGCAGUGAGCUGCGAUCCUGGCCUUGGGCGCUGAGGAAGGGAGAGGGUGGCUGCCGGCUGCAGAGGGGCUCCUGCGGGAAUCACAGUUUGCUCGAGCACCAGAAGCACGAGCAACACGGGACUUCCCUGGCGGUCCAGCGGUUAGGACUCUGUGCUUCUACUGCAGGGGCACGGGUUCCAUCCCUGGUCGGGGAACUAAGAUCUCACAUGCUGCAUAGCAUGGCCACACACACAACAAAUAAACAAGUAAAAAAGCACGAGCAACAGAAAAAAAUUGAUAAACUGGACUUUAUCAACACGAAAAACUUCUGUGCUUCAAAUGACACCAUCAAGAAAGUGAAAAGACACACAAUGAAUAAAAAGAUUUGUGAAUCACCUAUCUGAUAAGGGGCCUAGUAUACAGAGUAUAUAAAAACUCCGAACUCAAUCAAAAGAAGUAGACCAAUUAGAAAAUGGACAGAGGACAUAGACAGACCUUUCUCCGAAGUCUACCCAGCUUCAGAGACAAGGCCACAGGACACACCACUCCUCACCCACGGAAUGGCUAUCACCAGUAACACAAGGAUGCAGAGAAAUUAGAACCCUCCUGUAUUGCGGACAGGAAAUACUGAUCCGGGCUACAACAUGGAUGGAGAUGAUGCUCAGUGAAAGAAAUUGGAUACAAGAGACCACAGUGAUCCCAUUGAUCUGAAACGUCCAGCAUCGCCAGAUCCGUAGAGACAGAAACUCGACCAGUGGUCUCCAGGGCUGGGGGAGGGGCUGGGGGGUUCUCUGCUGACGGAUACGAGACUUUGUUACGAGGUGGUGAAAUGUGGACACAGUGGUGACGGUUGCACAACUUUGUAAAUACUCUGAAAACCACUGAUCGGUGUAUUUUAACAGCUAAAUUUAGUGAUGUGUGAAUUGAAGAAAAAGAGCUCUCUGAGCCCGAUUCCCCACAGUCUCAGCCCCAGGAGACCCUGAAGGUGGCAGGGGCGCUCCUGGUCAAGGGCGGCCCUGGGAUCCUGCCCACUAGGCUCCUCCCAGGACCGGGCGCCCACCCAGGAUGGCCCCACUCGGGAAGCAGAGCAGGGACUGGGGACCGGGGGUCUCUAGGACGAGAUGCUCACACCUACUCCAGCUGACUGAACUCAAAGCUGGUGCUGGCUGGUGAAUCAGCUCAGACGACACCGCAGCUGAUCAGGAGGGUGUGGCUUGGGGAGAGGAGGACAUGUUUGACCUCAGGCAGCCUCUGUGCUGCUGAGACCGUCUCUAGGUCCACAAUUCUGAACAAGGCGAUGGGGGAAGGGCCUCACGGUCCCCAUUCACGCAGAGGGACCCACUCGUUCCUGGACACUUGCAGAAGGCCCAGCCCAUCGGGAACACGGCUGGGAUGUGUUGGGCCAGUGACACGUCAAGAGGACUUGGGACAGGGCACUGCUCAGGAUGAGGCCCUGUGUCCCAGCCCGGCCCACAGCCCGAACACAAACGUCCUCACCUGGCAGUGCCCCUGAUCUGGGGCACGAUGGACAGGGUACUUCGAGGACGCAGGGCACAAGCACAGGGCUUGGAGAGGGCGCCGGGCUGUGGGGCUUCCGAAGCUCUGAGCACCUCUCCGCACCCUGCCCUGCUCCGCUCGCCUCCCCUCCAUCCACACGCCUCCCCUCCCCUCCCUCGCACCCCUAGCCUUCACCCUUCACCUCCUCCUGCACCCUCCCCUCCUGCCCACUUCUUGCAUCCCUUCUCCAUCCUUCCUCCUCCUCUGUCCCCACUGGCCACUCGCCUCCACCCUUCCUUCCGCAUUCUCCCCAUUUCCCGACACCCAGACCUACUCCUCAGCCACUCAGCCACUCUCCCCUACUGCUCCUGCGUCCCACCGCCCUCCAUCUUUCCUGUCCUUCCCCCUCUUCCUGUCUUACCUCCUCCUCCCUCCGUCACCCUGCAUGCACCUCCCCACUGGCUCCGUCUUCUAUCUGUCUCCCCCUGCUCUUCCUCCCGCAUCCUCUCUACCCCCUCCUGCUGUCCUUCCUCCUCCUCUGGGCCAGGUGUCUAAGCUCUGACCUCGGGCUCCUCACGUGGACACGGGCACCUCUGGCAGCAGCCCUCCCCCCACGGAGGCAGAAGGGGCUGCAGGGGCCUGGCCCAGGGUCAGUGGGGUGGGGUCCGAGUCAGCUUGGCUGGAGCCAGAGAGGACGGAGGCACCCACCCAUGGGCCUCUGUCCCCACUGUGGCCACAAGAGACGAGGUGAUGCUUACCCAUCUGACCUCUUGCUGCUGGGAGAUGUGCCUCCUCGAUGGAAAUGCACCCAGGGAAGGGGCAGGAGAGAUGGAGCUGGGCAGGUGAGGGUCAGAGACGGUCAGGGACCCCGGGGGCCUCCAAACACCUACGGACACGAAGAAGAGUGGGUGCCAGGCAGCGGGUGGGACUGUGGGGUCACUGCCACUCCACCCCACGAUGGGCCCCGCGUCAUUGCUCAGGGUUGGCACUGAGCCCUUUCCCUCUAAGGGGUCUUGCCUUUGGACGAGGUCUUGUCGCCAGGCAGGGGAAUGUGGCCAGGGCCAGGCGGAUUCGGGCAGGUGCUGGCUUCUGGUACACGGACCCCCAGGGCCAGCCCGCCCCCGACCCCUAAGCACAUUCCCCCAUCCCUUACCCUGCUGGCCACCAGUGCCAGGUGGCUACUUAGGCCCACCCUAAGCCUUCGCAGUCUGAGUUAAAUCCCGAUAGCGUUUUCCACCCAGGCCUCAGCCAGCUUCCUUGAGGUUCUCUGGGUCUGACGGCCACAUCAGAGGCUCACCUGGGUACAACCUUUAUAGGUACCUGCACCCUAAACAAAUACAGACGCUCUGGACUGGCCUGGAGCCCCUGGCUCACCCCCUGCUCUUCCUCCCGCAUCCUCUCUACCCCCUCCUGCUGUCCUUCCUCCUCCUCUGGGCCAGGUGUCUAAGCUCUGACCUUGGGCUCCUCACGUGGACACGGGCACCUCUGGCAGCAGCCCUCCCCCCACAGACCGAUUACGUGGCUGGAUGCGCCCGGCCCAUGGUCAAUGCUGGGGGGUCAGCGUCGUCUUGGCCGCAUCCCAGGAAGGAUGGAACCGCCCAUCUGGUGACCUCUACCCCCAACGUGGCCACAAGGGACGAGGGUGCAGGUGAUGCUCACCUUUCCGGCCUCUCAACUGCUGGAGCGGCGCCUGGUCUCUACAGAUGGACUGCGGUCGGGUCGGGCGAGGGUCAGAGCAGGUCAGAGACCACGAGGGCUCCCAACUGCCUACGGACACGAAGCACAGUGGGUGCCGGGCAGCAGGCAGAACUGCGGUGUCGCUGCCCGGGUCAGAGGUCAGGAUCAGAACCGAGCCCUUUACCUCAAAGGUCUCUUGCCUUUGGGGGAGGGUCCUGUCACCAUGCAGGUCUCAGCCGGGAGGCCUGGCCCUCUCCCGCCAUCCCUUGGCCCAUCCUCAUGGAGUCCAGCCAAGCCGCCUCCAGAUGGUCCUGUAUCACAGUUAUCCACUCCCCCUCCCACAGCAUCACUGAGUGUCUUUUUCAUUUACCAGUCUUCAAAGUCUUCAUGAUUACCUUCGAGGUGUGUCUGCUGUUAAUGGCUGUGAAUGUGCAUUUCGUGGGUCCAUCAGGAUGUUAUUGAAGUCCCGCACUGACGGGCACUCAUGCUUUUCAGAUCUGACAAAUGCAGCCGGAGGGCUCCAAGCUCAUGCUCUUCCCACCUGGAAACGACGCUGUCUGUCCCCUCCGUGCUCUUUGAGAAAAUAUUUGCAAAUGAAGCAACUGACAAAGGAUUAAUCUCCAAAAUUUACAAGCAGCUCAUGCAGCUCAAUAACAAGAAAACAAACAACCCAAUCCAAAAAUGGGCAGAAGACCUAAAUAGACAUUUCUCCAAAGAAGAUAUACAGACUGCCAACAAACACAUGAAAGAAUGCGCGACAUCAUUAAUCAUUAGAGAAAUGCAAAUCAAAACUACAGUGAGAUAUCAUCUCACACCGGUUAGAAUGGCCAUCAUCAAAAAAUCUACAAACAAUAAAUGCUGGAGAGAGUGUGGAGAAAAGGGAACACUCUUGCACUGCUGCUGGGAAUGGGAAUUGGUACAGCCACUAUGGAGAACAGUAUGGAGGUUCCUUAAAAAACUUCAAAUAGAACUACCAUAUGACCCAGCAAUCCCACUACUGGGCAUAUACCCUGAGAAAACCAUAAUUCAAAAAGAGUCAUGUACCAAAAUGUUCACUGCAGCUCUAUUUACAAUAGCCAGGAGAUGGAAACAACCUAAGUGUCCAUCAUCAGAUGAACGGAUAAAGAAGAUGUGACACAUAUAUACAAUGGAAUAUUAGCCAUAAAAAGAAACGAAAUUGAGCUAUUUAUAAUGAGGUGGAUAGACCUAGAGUCUGUCAUACAGAGUGAAGUAAAUCAGAAAGAGAAAGACAAAUACCGUAUGCUAACACAUAUAUAUGGAAUUUAAGAAAAAAAAUGUCACGAAGAACCUAGGGGUAAGACAGGAAUAAAGACACAGACCUACUAGAGAAUGGACUUGAGGAUAUGGGGAGGGGAAGGGUAAGCUGUGACAAAGCGAGAGAGUGGCAUGGACAUAUAUACACUACCAAACGUAAAAUAGAUAGC